rnacentral:rRNA from 1 species
AUUGAACGCUGGCGGCAGGCUUAACACAUGCAAGUCGAGCGAGUGGCGGACGGGUGAGUAAUGUCUGGGAAACUGACUGAUGGAGGGGGAUCACUACUGGAAACGGUAGCUAAUACCGCAUACCAUCAGAUGUGCCCAGCUGGGAUUAGCUAGUGGGUGGGGUAAUGGCUCACCUAGACGACGAUCCCUAGCUGGUCUGAGAGGAUGACCAGCCACACUGUAACUGAGACAUGGUCCAGACUCCUACGGGAGGCAGCAGUGGGGAAUAUUGGACAAUGGGCGAAAGCCUGAUGCAGCCAUGCCGCGUGUGUGAAGAAGGCCUUCGGGUUGUAAAGCACUUUCAGCGAGGAGGCGUUACUAGCAGAAGAAGCACCGGCUAACUCCGUGCCAGCAGCCGCGGUAAUUC